rnacentral:rRNA from 1 species
GACGUAGGGGGCGAGCGUUGUCCGGAUUUAUUGGGCGUAAAGAGCGUGUAGGCGGCCAGGUAGGUCUGCUGUGAAAACUCGAGGCUCAACCUCGAGACGUCGGCGGAAACCAUCUGGCUAGAGUCCGGAAGAGGAGAGUGGAAUCCCUGGUGUAGCGGUGAAAUGCGCAGAUAUCAGGAAGAACACCCGUGGCGAAGGCGGCUCUCUGGGACGGUACUGACGCUGAGACGCGAAAGCGUGGGGAGCGAACAGG